GACGAACGCUGGCGGCGUGCUUAACACAUGCAAGUCGAGCGGAAAGGCCCUUCGGGGUACUCGAGCGGCGAACGGGCGAGUAACACGUGAGUAACCUGCCCCAGACUUUGGGAUAACCCUCGGAAACGGGGGCUAAUACUGGAGACGACACAGCUUCGCAUGGGGUCUGUGUGGAAAGUUUUUCGGUGUGGGAUGGGCUCGCGGCCUAUCAUCUUGUUGGUGGGGUGAUGGCAUACCAAGGCGACGACGGGUAGCAGUGCUGAGAGGGCGAGCGGCCACACUGGGACUGAGACACGGCCCAGACUCCUACGGGAGGCAGCAGUGGGGAAUAUUGCACAAUGGGCGGAAGCCUGAUGCAGCGACGCCGCGUGAGGGAUGACGGCCUUCGGGUUGUAAACCUCUUUCAGCAGGGACGAAGCGUAAGUGACGUUACCUGCAGAAGAAGCGCCGGCCAACUACGUG
rnacentral:rRNA from 1 species